rnacentral:rRNA from 1 species
CCUACGGGAGGCAGCAGUAGGGAAUCUUCCACAAUGGGCGAAAGCCUGAUGGAGCAACGCCGCGUGGGUGAAGCAGGUCUUCGGAUCGUAAAACCCUGUUGUUAGAGAAGAAAGUGCGUGAGAGUAACUGUUCACGUUUCGACGGUAACUAACCAGAAAGCCACGGCUACCUACGUGACAGAAGCCUCGGCAAUACGUAGGUGGCAAGCGUUAUCCGGAUUUAUUGGGCGUAAAGGGGACGCAGGCGGUCUUUUAAGGCUGAUGUGAAAGCUUUCGGCUUAACCGGUGUAGGGCAUGGGAAACUGGGAAACGUGAGUGCAGAAGAGGAGAGUGGA